GACGAACGCUGGCGGCGUGCCUAAUACAUGCAAGUUGAGCGCUGAAGGUUGGUACUUGUACCAACUGGAUGAGCAGCGAACGGGUGAGUAACGCGUGGGGAAUCUGCCUUUGAGCGGGGGACAACAUUUGGAAACGAAUGCUAAUACCGCAUAAAAACUUUAAACACAAGUUUUAAGUUUGAAAGAUGCAAUUGCAUCACUCAAAGAUGAUCCCGCGUUGUAUUAGCUAGUUGGUGAGGUAAAGGCUCACCAAGGCGAUGAUACAUAGCCGACCUGAGAGGGUGAUCGGCCACAUUGGGACUGAGACACGGCCCAAACUCCUACGGGAGGCAGCAGUAGGGAAUCUUCGGCAAUGGACGAAAGUCUGACCGAGCAACGCCGCGUGAGUGAAGAAGGUUUUCGGAUCGUAAAACUCUGUUGGUAGAGAAGAACGUUGGUGAGAGUGGAAAGCUCAUCAAGUGACGGUAACUACCCAGAAAUGGACGGCUAACUACGUG
rnacentral:rRNA from 1 species